GUGAGGAAUAUUGGACAAUGGGCGCAAGCCUGAUCUAGCCAUGCCGCGUGCAGGAAGACGCAUCUAUGGUGUGUAAACUGCUUUUGUACGGGAAGAAACACUCCCUCGUGAGGGAGCUUGACGGUACCGUAAGAAUAAGGAUCGGCUAACUCCGUGCCAGCAGCCGCGGUAAUACGGAGGAUCCAAGCGUUAUCCGGAAUCAUUGGGUUUAAAGGGUCCGUAGGCGGUUUAAUAAGUCAGUGGUGAAAGCCCAUCGCUCAACGAUGGAACGGCCAUUGAUACUGUUAGACUUGAAUUACAAGGAAGUAACUAGAAUAUGUAGUGUAGCGGUGAAAUGCUUAGAUAUUACAUGGAAUACCAAUUGCGAAGGCAGGUUACUACUUGUGGAUUGACGCUGAUGGACGAAAGCGUGGGGAGCGAACAGGAUUAGAUACCCCAGUAGUCC
rnacentral:rRNA from 1 species